UGGAUUACAUGAAAUCCUCUCCAACUUUAUCCACCUGUGUCAUGGGGAGAAGAAGGUCAAGUUUGAAGAUCGUCAUUCUUUUUGUGUCUUUACAUCUGGGCUUUUCACAGGUUAAAGAAAUUCCAGAUUACCAGUUUGUUUUUGGUAAAUCUACGACAGAAAUUCCAAGGAAUCUAAGACCCGGAGUGACGGAGGUGUUUUUUGUGGAUAGCCAGAUUAAAACCAUCCCCAAGGCUUCUUUUGUUGAAAACCCCCAGCUUGAGAAGGUGGAGUUCAUGAACACUAACACAACCUUUUUAGAGGUGGGAGCUUUUGAAGGUCUAGUGAACCUCAUAAGUAUUGAGAUCUCCAACAAUCCGCUAAGUUCAAUUCCAGUGGGUGUCUUUGCUGAUGUCAGCAAUCUAGAGACCCUUAUUCUAAAGUUUAACAAGCUCAGUGGACUCCAGAAUGGUUUAUUUGAAGGUCUUGGGAAACUUAGAGACCUUCAGCUUCACGAAAACAAGAUUCAAGUUAUUGAAGACCAGGUGUUUCAGGGUCUUGACAACCUUGAAAAGCUCAGUUUGGCUAAAAACAACCUUACAUCUGUGUCCACUGACUGGUUUUCCGACCUGAAAAAACUGAAGGUUCUACGAAUUUAUGAUAAUCAGCUGACCACCAUUCCCGAAGAUCUUUUGAAGAACUUCCCCAAUCUGGAAGAGGUUGGGUUGCAAGGAAACCAGAUCACUUCAUUACCUCCAAAUCUGUUUCCACACAAAAACAAGCUAACUAAGCUGUAUCUGGACAAUAAUCUACUGACUGGUUUACCUGAGGGAUAUUUUGUGGGCUUCCCUAAGCUUAAAGUUUUGACCCUGAACAAGAACAAACUAAACAGUCUGCCAUCUGUUCUUUUUGGAGAAAUGCCUAAAUUGACUGAGUUAAGCCUCCAGCUAAACAAUCUCAGCACCCUUCCUACAGGAAUAUUCAGCCCUCUGAAGAAAGUAAAAAAAUUAGAUCUCUCGAAAAAUCACUUUGUCACCUUGUCUGCUGAUUACUUCCUUGGUCCAGAGAAGCUCACCGACUUGAAUCUGCAGCACAACCAGAUAAAAACAUUGGAUGCAAACUUGUUUGAAAACCUACAAUCACUGACGUCCCUCAAACUUUCCAACAACAACCUCCAUGCCCUUCCAGGAAAUAUUUUUGAACCUCUUGUAAAACUCAGCAAACUUGACCUUAGUAACAACCCCUGGCACUGUGACUGUAACCUGAAAGAUCUUCACGGGUGGAUAAGAGACAACUCUGAGAAGCUCAAGCCUCCGGUGGUGUGCGAACAUCCAGAACUUCUGAAAGGACAGGAAAUCCGAUCACUGAGGGACGAUCAACUUAUUUGUCCAACCCUUCCUCCCACAACUCAACUCAUCAAAACCACAAUACCAACAACCACUGCGAGAAAAGUAAUGAGCACAACACAUGUCAUUACGACAACCACUUCAACAACAACCACUGUGACAACAACAGCACCCACUACAACCACUGUGACAACAACAGCACCCACCACAACCACUGUGACAACAACAGCACCCACUACAACCACUGUGACAACAACAGCACCCACCACAACCACUGUGACAACAACAGCACCCACUACAACCACUGUGACAACAACAGCACCCACUACAACCACUGUGACUACAACAGCACCCACUACAACCACUGUGACUACAACAGCACCCACUACAACCACUGUGACUACAACAGCACCCACUACAACCACUGUGACUACAACACUACCCACUACAACCACUGUGACUACAACAGCACCCACUACAACCACUGUGACUACAACAGCACCCACUACUACUACUAUUGCACCCACUACCACUAUGACUACUACUAUUGCACCCACUACCAUUAUGACUACAACAGAACUCACUACAACAAUUGCACUUACUUCUUUUGUGACAACAACAGCACCCACUACAACUACAGCAUUCACAACAAUUGCAACUACAACAACCGUUGAACCCAUAGUUGGUUUCAAGACUACAUGUCAACAAGAGUGGAGCUCUACAACUCAAACUACUACGACAACCAUGACAACAACUGCACUUACAACAACUGUUCCCAUCACAACACCAACAACCAUGCUCAGGACAACCCGACCAACAACCACUAAGACAACGCAACCUCCUGCACCAACUCCUCCUCUGAGCUUCACCUGUCCUUUUGAAGUGAAUCCUUCAGAGCCAACACCCUAUUUCCUGCACCAGUCCAGCAUCAAGAUUCAGGAGUGUAAAUCUCACAUGAUGAUCUACAUUGCACUGGGGAUUAUAGAGAUGACUUGCAUGCUGGUGCUGGCUAAACUUGUUCUAUCUAUUUACCGCCUGUUGCAGCAGAGGGAGAGGAUGAACCAUAGGAUCAAUCUCACCCACUUCUCCUACAGGAGAGAGGUCAUCCUAAGGCCUUUGCAAGAGACAGAAACUCAUGGACUAUGAGUAACACAGCACUUCAAGCUUCUAUUGAUCCAUAUGAGAGCAUGGCAUUACACGCCAAAACAUCAUCCAGUUUGCUGCACCUGAUUUUUGAAGACUAGAAGUUUCUUGUCAUGGUGCCUCUGGCAAUCUACCCCCCCCCCCUUCUGCUCUACCUUCCUGAUUGGACCCAGCUGUGGACGCUCACCUCAUCAUCUUUCUGCCUUCAUAAGAAGAUCCAGUUCCAACAUUCAUCGCCAGUUCGUUGGCCCUUAUGGACAACCUGGGUCCUUCAUUGUUUGAGCUGUCUGAUCCUCACCUGCAAUCCUAACCUCCAGCCACGCCACGACUCAAGCCAAUUCAAGAUCUCAAGCCACGCCACAACUCCAAGCCAGUAUUCCUGGUCGCCACACUAUACUCAUCUCACCGUCAGAACAAUCAUCAUUAAACUCACCCUCGGAUCCAUGCCCAGGAUAAUAAACCCCUUUAUCUUCCAUUUUCUUUCCGGGUUUCAGCAUCUGGGUCUGUCUCACCAAGCAGAUCAUGACACUUCUGGUUUAAAGAAAAAAUAUUAUUGAAUUUCUAGUAAACCACUAAAAUAAUGAGCCAAUGAGACUGAAUGAGGGUUGCUCAACUUUUCUUAAAGCUUUAGGGAAAAAUAAUGACUUGGAGACACAGCUUUAAACCAACAGUAGAAAUGUUUGACUGUGAUGAGUUACAAGAUAAAAACUCAGUUGUUUAAGCAUUCAAGAUUUCAAGAAUCUUUAUUUGUCAUUCUACCACAGGGUAAAAUUUAUAGUAAAAAUUGAGCUAAAACAAUAUUGAAGAAAAUAGAAUAUGCUAAUGAAGGAAACCAGCAGUAUAAAUAUGGGGUAAAAAGAUUUAUUCUUCCAAAUAUUUAAUUUUCUUUCAAAAAUGCAUUCAAAAUAAUGUACAGAAAUUUUGAAUGCUGCUUCUUUGCCCAUUUGCGUGAAUACAUAUUAAUGAACUUUGAUUUCUAGGUUGUUAAAAAAAAAAAAAACAAGUGGUAUAGUCUAAGAUAAAACUCAAAUUUUCUUUAGAUAUCAGUUUACAUCAGAAGUGAUGUAUGUCAGAGUUGAAGGUAUUAAUUCAUUUGUAAAAUACAAAAAGGAAUAUUUUAAUAUAUAAGUUACAGGAAAACAUUUUUAUUAUGUUUUAUUUUAUUCCAUAGGACUUUCGCAUCUCUUAGUAAAAUACUGAAAUAAUAAAACAACUACUAAUAACUGUGCUUUAGGUUUUCUUUCUAAAACUAUUUAACUAAUGACAUUUUUUACAAAUGGAUCUCUUUAUUUUUGACAUUAUCUCUACAUUUUGUAAAUUUAUUUCCGGGCUUUACCUAGUUUUUAUUUUCUUUACAUUUAAUCGAACUUUUUUUUUACUUUUCCAUUAGUUUUCUCUCAAUUUUUUCCCCUGGUAUUUGGUCAAUCCUUACAUCUGAACUAGAUACACUAAAUACUAGAUACUGGCAACUAAGGGUAUGUUCACACUGCAGGCUGAAACGACCCAAUUCAGAUUUUUUUGCCCCUAUGUGACCUGUAUCUGAUCUUUACAUGACAG